AAAAACAAAAAAACUUGUUGUAUGUGGAACUGAUUGACGUAUUUGUGUAAUAGUUAUUUUUAGCACUCUGGCGGGAGAUUCCGGGAAUCACACUUCCGCUUUGGUGCUUGGUUCGCAUGUGUUCACGUUAAAUUAAGUUAUCUUUCUUUCAAACGCGGGGAUGGCAUUAGAUCUGAGUGCUUUCUGCAGAUUCCGAGAAGCGGGAAGUCUUUAUUCCCUCGGGAGCGGAUGGAUCAUAAAGUCAAAAGCACUUUCACAGAAAUUUGGUAACAGUACCGUGUUUUAUCUCGUGACCACAAGCGAUGUUUUAACACCGCGUCUAGUCCUUAACGCUCUAAAGAAAACCUCAGAAACCUCCGUUUAUACCAUAUUGGUUGAUAUUAGCUCAACCGAGGCUAAACAUGGAGUCAAGACCACCAAGGACUUGCGUGAAAUAAUUGAUUUUGUGCCAUCAGUUGAAGCCGGCGAAAAUUUGUUGCAGGACUAUGUGCGAGAAAUUUCAGGAUUGUUGCUUAUAAGUUUGGAAAAGUACCAGCGGCAUGGUUACUUUAGCAAGUCAUGCAUACUGUGCGAUAGGCCGGUGAAUUUCUCGAGUGCUUUAGAGGUGAAGAAUGAUUUCAGCUCCGAUGGCUCUUCGUUAUGUUGUUAUGUACUUCAAGAAGCGAAACCCGCCAAGACAUCAUCAUCUUCAGACAUCGAUAAGGCGAGUGAAGACGAAGGCUACGUUCCUUUUGCAAACAAAAGGCUAUCACUUCUGCUAGAACAAAAUAAAGAAAGUGCUGCCUUCCUGCCCUGUGUAGUUGUUGAUGGUGAUCAAACAUACACUUCUGAAAAAGAUGUACCUGUCAAUAUCAAUCUGCUUGGUGCCAUUGUAACUGACAAGAAAGGCAAACUGGUUGGAUCUCUGUGUUGUCAUCAAAAAGAGCUACAGUUUCAGCCAUCUGUCAUCAUAAAGAAAAAGUAUUUCUCUGCCUCAAUGGUGCAAGAAAAUGGUACAGCAAGCUCAACAUGUGGUGACCUAUUGGUCAGUGGAUACUCCACAUCAGCUCAACAAGAUGACAUUCAUAAUGAAUUUCCCCAAAAUCCAGCAACUAAUGAUGAAGAAGGCAUGCAACAUAGAAAUACAAAGCCAGCUCACAGCUCCAGAAAGCAAAAUGAGCAACUGCAAAUUGCAGGGCCACUUAUGACCAACAAAACAGGAAGUGAAGGUGGUGCAACAACAAGUGGUGGUGGUGUUACAGAAAGUAGAGGUGGUGCUAAAGAAAAUGGAGAUAGUGCUACAGGAAAUGGAGAUGGUGUUACAAGAAGUGGAGGUGGUGCUACAAGAAAUGGGGAUGGUUUUACAGGAAGUGGGGGUGGUGCAACUGCAAUGCGAGGGGAUGUAACAGGAAGUGAAAGAAAUGUAAGGAAAAUUGAAGGUGGUGGAACAGGAAGUGAGGAUGUAACAGGAAGUGAGGAGGAUAUAGCAGAAAGUGGAGGUUCUGUAAUAGGAAAUAAACAUGACGUUACAGGUAGUGGAGAUUUAGGAGGUGUAGGGGGUGCAACAGGAAGUAUAGGGAAUAAAGAAGGAAUUGGAGGUGUUGCUACAGGAAAUGGAGUUGGUGUUACAGGAAGUGGAGGUGUUGCAACAGAAAGUGUAGGUGGUGCUAUAGGAAAUGGAGAUGGUGCAACAGGAAGUCGAGAGGAUGUAACAAGAAGUGAGAGGGAUGUAACAAAAAUUGAAGGUGGUGGAACAGGAACUGAGGAUGUAACAGGAAGUGAAAGGGAUGUUAUAGGAAGUGAGGGGGAUAUUGCAGGUAGUGAAGAUGGUGCAACAGGAAAUGAGGAAUGUAGUACAGGAAGUGAGUCUGAGACAACAGAAAGUGGAGAUAAUACCAGGGGUGUCCCAAGAAGUGGAAGUGAAGCAAUAACUAAGAAACAUGACUCUGGGUUUGGCAGCUCAUUUGGAGCUAGGUCCCAUCUUUUACCAUCUGGUCUAAACAGCAAUGACCCGGGAGCCAGGCCAAAACGGAAAGGAAAUGAAAUGAAAGGAAAUGAUGAGACAAAGAGUACAUAUUUAUCCUUGCCAGACCUGGUAGAUACAGCCCCUCAUCAACCAGACCCACUCCUGUCUGAAAUCUACCCACAACCAAUCUUGCCCCUGGUCGAAACAGCUGGAUCUUCAAGAAGAAAGAUAAGAAGCGGAGACGACAUUCAAACCCUGUGGGCAGAAUCACCAUCACAUACUUUUGACAAAGAUCUGUCUCACUUGCUGGAUACCGAAUACCACUAUGGCAUUGAAAGUGGCCUUCAGCUAGCCAAACUCUUGGGAAUAGACGGAGAGCAGCGUGAGAAGUUCACACGAGCAUCAAUAAGCAGUCGCUCGGAGAAGCUAUUUGAGAUAUUGGCCACAAUCCAGCCAGAUCUGAAGGUCAAAGAUCUAUCAAAAGCCCUCGAAGAUAUUAAAAACAUUGCUGCAUUUAAUGUACUUGAACAUGCAAAAUCAGCUAAGCCUAAAGAUGGUGGAAGCCACAUUACAGACGAGACAGAGAUGGCGGAUCUACUAGACUCUCAUGGCAAAGUGAUCGGUCAGUUGAGUCUGGAACUUGACAAAGGUCCCCAAAACUGGAAGGAUCUCUCUUCUCAGCUUGGAGUUCCUAGAUCCUACACAAAGCAACUAUCUCGCCCAGAUGGUUAUAAAAGUCCAACCAGAGAAAUGAUAGAACAUUUCAUUCCAGUGCGUAAGCCUUCACUGACUGUUAAAUCGCUUGUUAAACUAUUUAACGAAAAGAAUGCACCGACAGCCCUCGUAGACAAGCUGAAAAAUCUAAAGCAAGAUCUACCGAUAAAGCACCUGCCAAAUAAGGAAGUGAUGGAUGAUCUGGAGGAUUAUCUGGACGCAGGAGAAUGGAGAACAGUUGCCGAAAAUCUUGGACUGUGCGACGAUGACAUCUCUUGCAUCAAGCCAAUCCCAUCCCGUGAGAUAGGAGUGACGGAGGCAAUGUUUGUUUGGCUGAGAUCAGCCAAGCCAAAAACCUUCACGGUGGCCCAGUUAGUUAUUCAGCUGGCGAAAAUGAAGCGAAGAGAUUGUCUUGAUCUCAUUGCCUCUCAGAUGGAAGGUAAAAACUUACAACCGGACAGGCCGUAGCUGAUAAAUUCUUGGCCACUCUUGAAAGAGGGAUCAAAACCUCCAUGUGCGUGCUCAAGGCUGACGGAGCCGCCAACAUGCCGAGAGCGGGAUGCAAGCUAUAAUGGUGAGGUGAAAAAUAUUCUAAAAAAGGCUGGGCUAGAAGUUGAGGGCCUGGAAUGAAAAAUGAACCAGAUUAUCAUACAACUCAUUCGUCCAUACAGUCUCUAGCUCCCACAGUAAGCCGAUCCAGAAAAAGUCAGACCCUGGAAAGGCACUCAAGACAAUGGUACAGUUGUACGCUUCUAGUGAUUGGAUCACGCAAGACAAUGGUACAGUUGUAUGCUCCUAGUGAUUGGAUCACUCAAGACAAUGAUAUAGUUGUACGCUCCUAGUGAUGGGCUCACGCAAGACAAUGAUACAGUUGUACGCUCCUAGUGAUUGGAUCACGCAAGACAAUGAUACCGUUGUACGCUCCUAGUGAUUGGAUAACUCCAUACAAUGAUACAGUUGUACGCUCCUAGUGAUGGGCUCACUCAACAUAAUGAUACGUUGUACGCUCCUUGUGAUGGGAUCACUCAAGACAAUGAUACAGCUGUACGCUCCUAGUGAUCGGAUCACUCAAGGUAAUGGUAUUGUUGUACGCUCCUAGUGAUCGGAUAACUCAAGACAAUGGUAUUGUUGUACGCUCCUAGUGAUGGGCUCACUCAAGAUAAUGGUAUUGUUGUACGCUCCUAGUGAUCGGAUCACUCAAGACAAAGGUAUUGUUAUGAUGGCUAUUUGGUUUUAUUCAUUUUGUGGUUGUGUUGAAUAAGAGCUUUUAUAAUCGUUAGGAAAAUCUCAUUCUUAGAUAAUAAUAAUACAUAUAGCAUUUUGCGUCCCACUGGAUGAUACAAUGCCAAUAUUGGUACACCAGUAGACUAGUGGGACCGUGUUUAGAUGUUACCAUUACAUAGUACGAUAAGGUUGCGCAUUGCGAAUCCGGAAUUUUUUUCCCGCAAAUAUUUUUUUGCCGAUGCGAAAGUUUCCGCGUCCACACGCAGCGUAUUCGAAUCGUUUUUAGCCGUACACACGUAUCCGGAAAUUUGUGAAAACGCAAAUUUCUUUUUUAUGAAUCUGGCUCUUAUAAUAAUACCGUCCACAUGUAUACGUGUUCGUAUCGGAUAAAAAAUUAAAAUUCCACUCUGGAGAGCGUUUUCAAAAACUUCCGGAUACGGACGGAAAUUACGCUGGAUACGUGUGGACGAGAGCCCGAUUCGUAUAAAAGAUUUCGUGUUUUCACAAAUUUCUGGAUACGUGUGGACGGGGCCUAGACUAUCCGAAGUGUACGAUUUAAUCAUAUUCUCUUGAGAAAAUAUUUUGUUUUUAAUGAUUUUUAGUGAUUGAAUGAUUGAGUGAUUUAUAUUCAUGAUAUACAUAAUGUAAGUAGAAUAGGAAUGAAAUACAGUAUCACAGUAUAAUUUGUUAGUUCAUGCAAUGAUCGUUAAAAGUUCAACUUUGUACUUCAAUUUCAUUCAUUUAUAAGGCAAAAAAAUUAUAUUCGUAUUGA